GAUGAACGCUGGCGGCGUGCCUAAUACAUGCAAGUCGAGCGAACGGACGAGAAGCUUGCUUCUCUGAUGUUAGCGGCGGACGGGUGAGUAACACGUGGAUAACCUACCUAUAAGACUGGGAUAACUUCGGGAAACCGGAGCUAAUACCGGAUGAUAUUUUGAACCGCAUGGUUCAAAAGUGAAAGACGGUCUUGCUGUCACUUAUAGAUGGAUCCGCGCUGCAUUAGCUAGUUGGUAAGGUAACGGCUUACCAAGGCAACGAUGCAUAGCCGACCUGAGAGGGUGAUCCGCCACACUGGAACUUAGACACGGGCCAGACCCCUAAGGGAGGGAGGAGUAGGGAAACUUUCGGAAUGGGCGAAAGCCUGACGGAGCAACGCCGCGUGAGUGAUGAAGGUCUUCGGAUCGUAAAACUCUGUUAUUAGGGAAGAACAUAUGUGUAAGUAACUGUGCACAUCUUGACGGUACCUAAUCAGAAAGCCACGGCUAACUACGUG
rnacentral:rRNA from 1 species